rnacentral:lncRNA from 1 species
CUAACCUGGCAACUUGCUUUCUGUACCUUGCACUGGGCUUCAAGUUUUAUUUUAAUGUUGUGCUGGUAAAUAUUUUUAAUGUAAAAUGUCUAGCCCGUUCAAAAAUGGGUUUAUUUCAAACCAUUUGUCUUUUGCUUUGUAGGAAAAACAUCAGAUAGGGGUCCGUUUCCACUAUAUGGCAGAGACCCAGGACUACCAGGUUGUCAAUCCGGUCUCCUUCGUUCAGAUAUGGGGCUUGGAAGCCCUGGUCAGGUGUCAUCCUCAGGAAAACCUGGAACACCAUAUUACCCAUUUUCUUCUGCAAAUCCACGCCGAAGACCACUUCAUGACUCAUCAGCUGUUGAUCCUUUACAGACAAAGAAAGUAAGAAAGGUGCCCCCUGGUUUGCCUUCUUCUGUAA